rnacentral:lncRNA from 10 species
CGGCUACGUGCCCAGCGCUCGCGUCUGCUCCAGUCGCUCUGGCGGUGCGGGGCGCUGGCGACGGGACAGGGUUUUUGCUGCCCGGGGCCUAGUCUACCUCGGCACGCUUUUCUCUGAAGGAGACACGCACUUGCACGACGUGGGCCUCUGUGCAGCUCUACUUUGUCCUUAACUCCUCUGACUCAACGUUAUCGCAGUUUGACUCUGGAGCCACUCAGGUUUUUCCUAAGCUCAACUCUAGCCAGCUAGGUUCCUGGUGCUUUGGGGACGGAAUUUUGCUCGUCACCCAUGCUGGAGUGCAAUGGCUCUCAG